CCUACGGGUGGCAGCAGUGGGGAAUAUUGGACAAUGGGCGAAAGCCUGAUCCAGCCAUGCCGCGUGUGUGAAGAAGGCCUUCGGGUUGUAAAGCACUUUCAGUGGGGAAGAAAGCCUUGGGGCUAAUACCCUCGAGGAAGGACAUCACCCACAGAAGAAGCACCGGCUAACUCCGUGCCAGCAGCCGCGGUAAUACGGAGGGUGUGAGCGUUAAUCGGAAUUACUGGGCGUAAAGCGCGCGUAGGCGGUCUGAUAAGCCGGUUGUGAAAGCCCCGGGCUCAACCUGGGAACGGCAUCCGGAACUGUCAGGCUAGAGUGCAGGAGAGGAAGGUAGAAUUCCCGGUGUAGCGGUGAAAUGCGUAGAGAUCGGGAGGAAUACCAGUGGCGAAGGCGGCCUUCUGGACUGACACUGACGCUGAGGUGCGAAAGCGUGGGUAGCAAACAGGAUUAGAUACCCUUGUAGGC
rnacentral:rRNA from 1 species